GCCGGAUGCGGUGGUGCGCGCCUGUAGUCCCAGCUACUCGGGAGGCUGAGGCUGGAGGAUAGCUUGAGCCCAGGAGUUCUGGGCUGCAGUGCACUUUGGCGAUAGGGUGUCCGCACUAAGUUUGGCAGCAAUACGGUGACCCUCUGGGAGCAGAGGACCACCAGGUUGGCUAAAGAGGAGUGAAGCGGCCCAGGUCAGAAACGGAGCAGGUCAAAACUCCCGUGCUGAUAAGGAAGAAAGAAAAGAAAAGAAAGACUAGGGCCAAAGACUCUUUCA
ensembl:misc_RNA Metazoa_SRP Metazoan signal recognition particle RNA